CGGGUGAGUAACACGUAUCCAACCUGCCGUCUACUCUUGGACAGCCUUCUGAAAGGAAGAUUAAUACAAGAUGGCAUCAUGAGUCCGCAUGUUCACAUGAUUAAAGGUAUUCCGGUAGACGAUGGGGAUGCGUUCCAUUAGAUAGUAGGCGGGGUAACGGCCUACCUAGUCUUCGAUGGAUAGGGGUUCUGAGAGGAAGGUCCCCCACAUUGGAACUGAGACACGGUCCAA
rnacentral:rRNA from 1 species